rnacentral:rRNA from 1 species
UGGCUCAGGAUGAACGCUAGCUACAGGCUUAACACAUGCAAGUCGAGGGGCAGCAUGGGAGUUUGCUUGCAAACUUCCGAUGGCGACCGGCGCACGGGUGAGUAACACGUAUCCAACCUGCCGAUAACUCGGGGAUAGCCUUUCGAAAGAAAGAUUAAUAUCCGAUAGGAUAUCAAGGUCGCAUGAUCUUGAUAUUAAAGAAUUUCGGUUAUCGAUGGGGAUGCGUUCCAUUAGUUAGUUGGCGGGGUAACGGCCCACCAAGACGACGAUGGAUAGGGGUUCUGAGAGGAAGGUCCCCCACAUUGGAACCGAGACACGGUCCAAACUCCUACGGGAGGCAGCAGUGAGGAAUAUUGGUCAAUGGACGAGAGUCUGAACCAGCCAAGUAGCGUGAAGGAUGACUGCCCUAUGGGUUGUAAACUUCUUUUAUAUGGGAAUAAAACAGGGUAUGCAUACCCUCUUGUAUGUACCAUAUGAAUAAGGAUCGGCUAACUCCGUGCCAGCAGCCGCGGAAUACGGAGGAUCCGAGCGUUAUCCGGAUUUAUUGGGUUUAAAGGGAGCGUAGGUGGAUUGUUAAGUCAGUUGUGAAAGUUUGCGGCUCAACCGUAAAAUUGCAGUUGAAACUGGCAGUCUUGAGUACAGUAGAGGUGGGCGGAAUUCGUGGUGUAGCGGUGAAAUGCUUAGAUAUCACGAAGAACUCCGAUUGCGAAGGCAGCUCACUGGACUGCAACUGACACUGAUGCUCGAAAGUGUGGGUAUCAAACAGGAUUAGAUACCCUGGUAGUCCACACAGUAAACGAUGAAUACUCGCUGUUUGCGAUAUACAGUAAGCGGCCAAGCGAAAGCAUUAAGUAUUCCACCUGGGGAGUACGCCGGCAACGGUGAAACUCAAAGGAAUUGACGGGGGCCCGCACAAGCGGAGGAACAUGUGGUUUAAUUCGAUGAUACGCGAGGAACCUUACCCGGGCUUAAAUUGCACCUGAAUAACGUGGAGACAUGUUAGCCGCAAGGCAGGUGUGAAGGUGCUGCAUGGUUGUCGUCAGCUCGUGCCGUGAGGUGUCGGCUUAAGUGCCAUAACGAGCGCAACCCUUAUCUUUAGUUACUAACAGGUUCUGCUGAGGACUCUAGAGAGACUGCCGUCGUAAGAUGUGAGGAAGGUGGGGAUGACGUCAAAUCAGCACGGCCCUUACGCCCGGGGCUACACACGUGUUACAAUGGGGGGUACAGAAGGCAGCUACCUGGCGACAGGAUGCUAAUCCCCAAAACCUCUCUCAGUUCGGAUCGAAGUCUGCAACCCGACUUCGUGAAGCUGGAUUCGCUAGUAAUCGCGCAUCAGCCAUGGCGCGGUGAAUACGUUCCCGGGCCUUGUACACACCGCCCGUCAAGCCAUGAAAGCCGGGGGUACCUGAAGUACGUAACCGCGAGGAGCGUCCUAGGGUAAAACUGGUAAUUGGGGCUAAGUCGUAACAAGGU